ACUGGAGAUUGCACACUAUGUCUCUUCCUGCAGCUCACAUCAUCUCAACUUCUCAAUUUCACCGCGUUCUUCUGGCCUCCCUCCAGUUGUAGGCGGCGGAAACAGCAACUGACACAGACUGCUGCUCCUGUCCCCAGCCCAGUGAUCGCAGAUGGAGCGCAGCUGCUGCGAGGGAUCCAGCCCUACCUUCUGGUCACAUGAGUCAGCUGGUGCAGUUGCAGCUGCAGAUGCCAGUGUCUCUGCUGAGCAGCUGAAACCAAUAGAAAUUAUUCAAGCUGGUGCAGGAGCAUGUGGGAGGUGGCAGAGAUGAACUCCCUGUGCCAGUUCAGCAUCUUCGGCACCCUGCUCCUGCAUCCUGGCCUGGUCUCGUCUCUUGGAUGUAGCUGGCUCUGGCUGGGAGGGGGGAAACAACAGAGCUCUUAAGGAGUGGCAGCACAGAGCACAGGAAUACAAGGAUAUUAGUUCAUUUCAGUUGUUAAUUCCUGAUGUAGAAGCAAACAAAACUGAAUAGACACAUUUUUUGCUUGUCCUAGAUUUAUUAUGGAUGUAAGAUGUGUGCAGGUCUCACACUGGCCUAUCAAAGAUAGGCUCAUAGUCUUCCACUUUACUGAAAAAACUACUUUGGGAAAUUAAGUAUUAGUGCAGAAAUGUGUUGAGUGCUGUAAAUUGAAAGUGAGUAUUUAAAUGAGGUAGUAUUAACUACUGUAGUUGCCUGUCCUUUUAAACUGUAGUGACAAGUUACGUUACGAUUUUGGUGAAAGCUGAGAUGGGCUAUGAUCAUUUGCUUCUAAAUUCACUUAUCACCUACUUGAAAAAAGUUAUUUAUCUUAAGCUACUGUUACUAGCAUUCAGCAACAGUGAAAUGUCUAUAUGCAACAGUGAAUAAGCCUACCGUUUACCUCUGUUGACAGAAUUCUGCAUGGAUUUCUGAUUUCAAAACAAAACUAAUCUUGUUGGACUGUAAUCCUAGCUGCAGCUAUGGGAGUAUUCUGAAAUAGCUUUCUUAAAGCUUUCUAGCACGUUAAACAUCAAACUUCACAAUGAAGACAUGCCAUCCUAGUUGUCCAAAUGCACUUGUGAAUGGUUGCUAUAAUUUAUGGGACCUUUUCCUAAAUUGGAAGGUUGCGCCUGUGUCAGUGGUUGGACAUUGAACUUUUAAAUAGUAUGACUUUAGUUAUUGUUUUUUCUCUAUGCUGAGAAAAACACUCUGCAAACAUCUUUAAAACCAGUUAUUUCUUUCCCUAUUCCUGGCAUAUUGGUUAUUGUAGACGACAAUUCCUGUACAGCAGCCUUUUUUUCAUUUUAUUUUCAUUAAUGAGAUUUUUUUGGCUCUGCCACUGCUGCUUACCAUGAGGUCACCACUUCGGUACUUGAAAAUAUGAAAUAAUCACUUCUCUAAGGAAAUAGGACAUAACCAAAUGGGCAGGAGGGAGAAACUGAACUGAAAGACAGGAAUAAGGAAGAAAAGAAAAAAAAAAAAAAAGAGGAACAGGCCUAUAAUAUACAGAGAUUUUAAAAAUAAAAAUUUAUACUGAGAAGACACUGAAUUAUUUUCUUCAUUAUUUUGAAAUGCAAGACAAAGCUGAUGCUUAUGCUCCUAGUUCAGGUGAAAAAAGAUUUUAAACUUCAGUGAAUAUAUGAGAAGGAUUAGAGCACUGGAACAAAUUUAUAUUAUGGAUCUUGAAAAUGUUGCAAGGAGCAGGAUCUUGUAUUUGAUUUUUGAAGUUCCGUGUUGUUUUUGUACCAUUACUUCUAUGUGCAGCUGCUCUUUUCAGGCUGUUUGCUAAUACUGCCCUUGCAUUUCCCACCUAGUUACCUAUAUUCUUGGGAUGUGAGCUGCUCUAAGAAGUGUAUUUAGAAGAACAAAUGCCCUGCUUAUUUGUUUCACAUUUGCUCCACUAGGAUCACGGAAGUAAAUGGUGAAAUUUUAAAAGGAAAGAUACUGCCACUGGAUGGUGCUAUUGUUAUGUUAUUUAACUUGCAUGCUGUGGUAAUGUGGAUGGCGUGAAAUCUCCACCCAUGUACUCCCCAAAGGUUUUUGUAAAGAUCUGCUACAAGGAAAAUCCUGUGUAUACAGGUCACGGUACCAAUGGAAAAAUAGUCAUCGUAACCUAUAUCUGCACAAACGUUGGGCAGGGGUACUUCUGUCUGGUGUGACCUGUAUUUGACCUUUGCAGAUCAAUGUGUAAUGCAAGUUUGGGUGAAAGCAUUUUUUUAUGGAUCGUGAUGUUCUCGAGGAAUGGGAUCUAUUUGAGCCAAUCAGCUCUGUGAAAUCUGCAUAUUCAUAAAACGUCUAAUUAUCCAGAAAGAGAUGCUGAGUUACUGAAAUUGUCACUUUGAACGCUUUACUAACAAGAGGACUGUCUUUUAAAACGGCAGGGGUUACAUAGUUAGCUACUUAUUACGUUAAAAAAAUAAAGUUUUGACUGCUUUAUGCAAAUAUACUGCAUUACCUUGUAUAAAUGAGAAGGUAAAUCAGCUUUUGAAAGCCCUUCAUGUUUUUUGAGGGGUAGAAAAUGAAUUCUUCUUAGAAAUUUGCAUUUUGAGAAGUAAAUAACUACUUGAAAAGGUGCGCCUUCUUUUAAAGAUUGCAGUUUGAUAGUCUAGAGACUUGUGAGUUAAAAUGGCUUUAGAAAAAUCUGAAAUUUUUCUUAGAAUAUGCUAUGAACAAUUGAAAAUGUGUUCCAGUUUUCCAAGAGGAUGGUUUAAAAAAAGAUUGUUUUGUCUGCUUGCUUUCCCUCUCCCCCUUUUUCUUUCAUAUGCUUUGAUAUGUCCAGAGGAAUUGGAGUUGGUUUUUAGAGAGACCUCAGAGAGGGAAGGAAGGAAAAAAACAAACACAACAACAACAAACAAACAAAACCAAACAACACAUACACUGAACCUAAGAAGAGCAUUAGGAUGUACUUACUGGAAAUAGUCUAUAGGGUUCAAUAUAUGUGUAGAUACGUUAUGAGCGGUAGAAGUUGAAAAGAAAUCAUAAAUAUGAGGCCAAGUAUGUCAAAGGCCCAAUCUCAGAAAGUUACAGAGGAAAGGAUCCACUCCUGUGGCACAGACAACUGGGAAGAUGAAGGUUGCUAAUCUGUCUGAAAAACUCAUUUGUUAGUACUCCCUUUCCUGCAUUACAGCUGUUAGAAAUGUUUAUAAUUUUUAAUAGAAUGUGGUAGUUCUUCCCAGUCAAUAUAACCAAGUGGGUAGGUACAGAUACUUUUUACCGAAUUUUCCACUCUGCACUUAAGUUGAUUAAAGAUAAUUAACUUAAGUGUAUUAAAUAUUCAAAAGUACCUAAAAUGCAUAAAACUAAAUGAAAUGAAAAUCUUAACUAAUGUUAACGUAACUUCACACCACAUGUAAAAGCACAGCAAAGGAAGCUGGAUGACCCUUUUUACUCUGAUAAAUUUUAUUUCUAUGUCUUUUGAAUGUCUCAAGGUAACAUUUUAGAAAUUAAAAAGAAACAUGACAA